CUCUUUAAAAUUGAGCUCCAGAAAUCUAGGUCCAUUUUUUUCUCUUAAAAUAAAGGGUGUUGCCAUAAGAAAGUGUCCAAUUUGGACCACCCUGUUUAUAGAAUCUCUAAACAAAUUUAUUCCUUAGGAAGAAAACAGUGUCAUGAGCGAGUCUUCUACAAUGGUGAGACAUCACAACUCGAGGUAAGCUCAACCUUGGGAGAGCCGAAGUCAGAACUGACUGAUCAGGAGAAGUCCAAGGUCAUCUCGGACCCUACAAAGGAUAUAAAUGGCAGCGAUCACAUGCAAGCACUCCUUCCCUUGCAGUGAAACAUGUUGAAGAGGGUACUUUCACAGAACCUGCAGCAGCAGUGAAAAUGACUAUGUACCACCUUAAGUACUCGGAGGUCCAGCUGACGACAUUUGCCGUCUCCUAAUGUGAGCGAGAUCCCAGACGGAGAUAAAGCCUUUGCGGUUCUUCAAAGCAGUCGCUAUGUAGGAAACAUGGGCUUGGCACUCAUACAACAACCAUGAAUGGACUAACCUGUGAUCUAGGAGGUGCCAAAGGUCAAGUCAUUAAUAAUCACAAUACAACCUCGAACAUUUAUUCUAGUUAGGAAGAACCUUGAAGUUGAAUUUUUGUUCUAACUACAUAAAAACUAUACAAAGCCGAUGGAAUACUAAAGAGAAGAAACGAAGAAUAAUUCAAAUUAUCUUCCUUUCGAUUUCCGCCAAGCAAUUCUUUUGCUGCAAUGCAAAUUCCCACCAUACCAUUUGGGGAAACACCUGCUGUAACCGACGAGUGAGACCCGGAUAGACUCUUCACGUCAGGUUUGUCUAUUGGUGCCCAAGAUUUAUUUCAGUCCAUAGAAUUACUCCUCCAGGACUCUAUGAAGGUUGCUGUCCCAAAUUCGAGAAACUGCCUGGUGGAACAAAGAACUGAAAAAGGCUAGAUGAGAAAUCAGACACAACAGUUAAAAAACCACAAACUACCACAAAUCGCAAAUAGAUUAAGACUGCUAAGGCAGAAUUUUCGAGGAGAAAUUAAGUUAACUUGAGAAAUGGGGUGCACACAGUACACUAGGUGCCCUAAAAAGCCAGAUGGUAGUCACACGACUAUGGAGUAUGAUUCACUAUUACACUCUGGUCGACACUCAGUUCCCGGAAUUCCCGAACUGUCCCAAUUGCCGUACAAAACAAUGAUACACCCUUGAGUCACCUAGGACAUUGACAGCAAUCAAGUGCAGUUAGCAAAAUAUGAAGGGUCCGCAGUACAUAGCCAAUUUGUACAUCACAGGAGUACUGUUGUAAAAUUCCCAUAAUUUAUUUGUUGUGAAUAUUCAGGAACUUAUGGGAAUUUUCUGUAAUAUUUAUUUGUCUUUUAGAAAAGAGACUAUUCUAUAUUAAUUUCAAUACCCCAAAGACAGAAUAAUGAACUUAUAUCAGACUUUUGUCUUUUAAAUUGUUUGAUCAGUUCUAAAAUAAUGAAUCCAUAGCAAAAAAUGUUAAUUAUAUGAACGUGAAAAGAAUGUAAGAAAAUAAAUAAACAACUACAAGUAUUGAAUGCUUACCAU